CCAAAUGGAUGUAAUACAGUUAUUGUUAUGGAAAAGACCAAACUUGAAUAUAUUAGGCUCAUGUGUCAAAUGAAAAUGACUGGAGCAAUUUGUAAGCAGUAAGUAAAUUUUCCAAAAUUAAGUAGAAAGAUAUUGUUUGUUUUAACUAUUUGUUUAAUUACGUUUUCACGUUCUACGUUAUUUUUAUAUUUUAAAUCUUCCUAAUUACAGGUCUGUUCUUGGAAGGAUUUUAUGAUAUUAUGCUUAAACGACCAAUUUUCAUAUUUAAUGAACAAGAACUUAAACUAUUGAUCAGUGGCUUGCCUACUGUAAAUAUCUUAAAGGAGGAUCUUAAAGCAAAUAUUGACUAUCAUAAAUACACUGCUACGUUUUUAUAAAUUCAAUGGUUCUGGUGCAUUGUGAGGUUUUAAUCAAGCGGAUUGUUCGAAGUUCUUACAAUUCAUCACUGGUACAUCUAAAGUGCUGUUACAAGGUUUUCUGCGUUAGAAGGCAUGAAUGGCAUACAAAAGUUCCAAAUUCACAGAGAAGACAAGUUGACAGACAGGCUUUCAUUUGCACAUAUUUGUUUCAAUCAACUGGAUUUGCCAGUGUACGAGACGUAUGAUAAACUCUGAACAAAUCUACUCAAGGCGACUUACGAAUGCACCAAAGAAUUUGGAUUUGCAUAAGCUUACCAGAAUUUGCUCCUGCACAAUUUCGAUUUCAAUCGAUACAAUUUCGCAUUCAAUUGAUGAUAUUCUAGAGACCAAACUUAUGGUUGGAUCUUUACAGCCAGUGAUAACAUUCCGAACGUGCAAUGGCCUAUUGCUCGCAAAAUUUUUAACGUACUUACAAAAAUUGUUAUAUGCAAUGUUAUAUGUAAAACUAUCUUGUGAACGUAGCGAAUCACAGUGCUCUAAUUGCUAUAAUAUGUAUUACACUUAUACGACUUUAUAAAUACGAAAUAUAUAUUUUCAUUUUCAGAAACAACGCAUGUAUUAA